AAACUUACCUUCAAAUGCCUGUUUCACCAAUGGACUGAACAUGGAAUAAAGAUGAUAUUUUCCCUUGCCUAGUCUAAAUGGCUCCUGCGAGGUCCACAUUGAUACCUUCACUGGAUAGCACCUAGAGCUCUGUCUCAGUUAAUCUGAGAGAAGUCAGCAGUCACAUCAGCCUGCACAGAGGAAUGGUGGCCUCCAGCCAACAGCUGUGAGGCCCUGGGGCCUGCCAUCUCCUGGGAGAGAGCCUGGAAGUGGACUUCAGCUCCACCGAAGUCUCCAGAUGCCUGCAGUCACAUAAGACUCUUUACUGGCCUCCCAGCUUCUCUUGCAGCAUACCCAAGGAUUAAAGUCCAGUGAACACUGGAAACCCUGAGAAUGAUGAAUAAAGCUAUGAGUCUUCCUUGGCAAGAAACAUCAUGAUAUACUUGACAAUGACAACUGGCUCCCACGUGUUUUUAUAUAAACCUCUGAGUAAUCCUGACAGG